rnacentral:sRNA from 1 species
UUACAUUUUCUGCAUAGCCUACCAAAAUA